rnacentral:lncRNA from 10 species
AACUGCGGCUGCUCGCUCCUUUUCAACAGCUGAGCGGACUGCUCCAAGUGUGUGUGCGAACGGGAACAGAGACGCAAGCCAAAUUCACCUCCGUGGAGCUGCUCAGGGAAUACAUUUCGACCUGUGUUCCUGAAUGCACUCAUCCCCUCAAAGUGGGGACCUGUCCCAAGGACUGGCCCAGCCGUGGGGAGAUCACCUUCAGAGACUAUCAGAUGAGAUACAGAGACAACACCCCCCUUGUUCUCGACAGCCUGAACUUGAACAUACAAAGUGGGCAGACAGUCGGGAUUGUUGGAAGAACAGGUUCCGGAAAGUCAUCGUUAGGAAUGGCUUUGUUUCGUCUGGUGGAGCCAGCCAGUGGCACAAUCUUUAUUGAUGAGGUGGAUAUCUGCAUUCUCAGCUUGGAAGACCUCAGAACCAAGCUGACUGUGAUCCCACAGGAUCCUGUCCUGUUUGUAGGUACAGUAAGGUAGCUGUUUUUAAUCAUUGUGCAUUUCUAUUUUUGGAGAGUGAAAUCAGACUGACCAAGAACUUUGUGAUGUCCCCAGGGCAUGGCUGGCCUGGAGCUGUUCUGUCUGAGGGAAGCAGUAUCCCAGGGGGGCUCACAAGCACUGCUGGUCCCUGUUUCUGCAUCCAGCCUUGGGAGGAGCCAGGGCCCGGGGUCUGAGCAUUACUUGUGUUUUAUAAACACAUUAUUAAUGAGCAAGAUGCUUCUGUAUUCAUUCAUACACUGAGCAGAUAUUCCAGUGGCUCUGGACAGCCCUAGUUUAUGCCUGUGUCCCAGUAUCCCAUCAGGUUUAACAAUGGCCACUCUGAAAAGUGUCCCAGUUUGCACAAUAAAAUAAAUAGUUACCCCGUGUAUACAGCUAUCCAUUGCAAAGUGCAUUCAUUUAUUUCCACACCUAAGUGAACAGAAGCUAUUUCAAGCACAAGAACAGUAGGGCUGCAGCUUCUGUGGGGCUCCAGAUCUGAUAUCAAGGCACAAGGGGAAAGGCAGUUUCUCAGUUAGCUCUCUCUGUGAUGAGAGGAACAUUUCUCCCAUACAGCACCAGAUGAAGUAGGGUAACUGUAUUUACUGUAUUUAGAGUUCAUUGUUUGAAAAAUGCAUUCUGCCUCUUGAAACAGUAGAUUUACAUUCUGCGUCUGAGCUGCUCAGCACCCUGUGAGGCCCUAGGAGCUGCCGAUACAUGGAGUGGCAGAUUUGGGUUGCUCACUCUCCCUCUUUCUCU